UCUGGUCUGAAACAUUACAUCUAGAUUUUUUAACAUCUCAACAAGACACCUGCCUACUAAGAAUUGCCAAUUCUCUGCUUGCCACAGCCCAUCUGAUCACUGCCUCCCUUUAAAACCCUUACCUGUUUUAUCUGCUCCCAUCAGGCCCACCUUCCACUACCAGAACAGCGGCCCUACCGAAACCCCAGGGAGUGAACCGCGGGGUCCCUCCUGUCUGAGAUAACCCCUGCUUGCUCGGAAAAGAAAAGUAGAAAUGGCGCAAGCCACCUUCAUAACACUAGCUCCGCAAGAAAGUGAUGGAUUCCAGAUCUGCCCGGUAAACAGGUGCGGACAAAUCAGCAUUAUCAAAUCCAGCCCCAGAAAGAAUUGACAGGCUUUGAAUUGGCCGUUUUCUUGUUGCGUUGGCCAUCAAUUGACGUCUGAUGGCCCUGUUGAGAUGGGAUAUGCCAGAGAAUAUAUGGGGUCGGCUUUCCACAUCGGUAGACAUGGAUAAAAGGAUAUGCUUAUGGGCAAAGAAUGUAUGCUUGCAAAUUAAAUAAUAAAAUACUCCCAUUUCAUUGGGGAUGACCGCCACUGCCAGGCCUCCAACCUUAUCCAUCUAGUCGUGGUUGGUGUUAAUCUAACUUUGUGGCGUCGCCACUCCGAUAUUCGGCAUUGAAUUCAGGACGUUCUGCCCAUAAGAGGCAUUUGUUGUCAACACCUCUCUGUGAGAUUAGCGGGAUUCGAGCUUGGAACUUUCAUGUUUUAUUGUAUUUUUUCCUUUACUAAGGGGUAAUAGCUUGUUUAACCUUAUUAAGAUGAAUGCUCUUGUUGCGACCAGUCCCAACUCUAUGCAAGCAGGUCGGCUUCAGGGGUUGGAAUCUAAGCUUGAACGGAGUUUGUUAGUUCCUUUUCUUGAGAUGAGGGUAAGAUUUCAAAUGAACACACCUUUCAUUAGAUUGUGAAGUAUUUAGUAUGUUUUCAUAAAAAUUGUAUUUUUUUGAAUGUCCUUUAGUUUUUAUGCUACAUAAGUCCCGGGUCAUCUUGAUCUCAAGUGGGUAUUUGGGGUUUUUCCUUGAAAAUGCAAUCAGGGAUAUGCCAGCGCCUCUUAUGUAUGGUUUAUAAAAAUUAACAAUAUUUUCUGGUUUGAAGCUUUCAAUAAAUCAUGGUCUGAUUAGUUGCCCCUACCAGGCAUG